rnacentral:lncRNA from 1 species
UUGGUGGCUCACACCUGUAAUCCCAGAACUUUGGGAGGCCGAGGAGGGCGGAUCAUGAGGUUAGGAGAUCGGGACCAUCCUGGCUAACACGGUGAAACCCGUCUCUACUAAAAACACAAAAAAUUAGCUGGGCGUGGUGGUGGGAACCUGUAGUCCCAGCUACUUGGGAAGCUGAGGUAGGAGAAUGGCGCUUAUCUCUGUGCUCAUGUGAACAGCAUCAUGAAUAUCAGUGUGACUUGACUGCUGUCCAGCUCAGAAAAAUGCUUAGUCUAGAAACACUAAAGAAUUUUAUUUUCUUUCCCAUAUCCUGACUUUAUGCUCACCGAGUAUAAUAGGUUCUUAAUAAAGUCAUUUCUAUCCCAGAAACUGUAAAUAUAAAUCUACAUUUUUCAUGAAUAAGCAGGCAUAUAGUUUAUUCAACAUUUAUGUCUGAAAUUGGUCAGUAUAGCCUAAUAGUUAACAU